rnacentral:lncRNA from 1 species
GCCAAAGGCAGGCGCCAAACUGCUGAGCCACCCAGGGAUCCCCUAGUACAUUAUUUUUUAAUGUUAAAGAUUAAGUGAGAUUUUAUUGAAACAGAUCUUAUUAGUAAAUACAUAAGUAAAGUAGUUCAAAACAUUAGUAAAAUAGCAUUCAGCACUUUUUACUAAAUUUUACAAGUUUUUAUCUUUUUUUAGGAACCGUCAAGAAAAGAAGAUUUGUUGUGACAAUACAAAGUUCAAACUGGAAAAUUGGAAGUGAAUUGUGAACCUGUAAUGCCA